rnacentral:lncRNA from 1 species
GUUUGCGAUUCAAACAGUCCAUUGAGUCCAGCAAAGGUGUCGUCUGCAUUCUACAUCAUUACUGUCUGAUUUUCACACGAGGAUAAUAGUAAAAGUGAAAAUGCAUUGGAUACCUAUAGAAGAAAUCCCAAACAGUAUAUUGUAUAGUGAUACGCUCGAAGAGUAUGUCAUAGACGCAAGGGAUUCAAGAAGCCCAAAAGAAAUACAUGAAGUCAUCGAACGCCACAAGGCAGGUUGUCAUUUGCUGGAGGAGGAGGAUCGUAAACUCCAAAUGAUGAAAACUCAGAAAUGAAUCUAACAGAUUAUACCGAAAGCAGCAGUGGCCGUUGGAUAGUGCAGCACAAUACCAAUCGGGGGCAUCACUGAAAACAUAAUGGAAUGUUAUAUUGUAAUACUCAAUGCAGUUCUAUGUGGAUUUUCAUUGUGUUGUAAUUUCAAUUUCCAUUGUGAUAUAAAUGUAAUGUGAGAGACAGCAUCAAAAAGAUUUACACACGUCUUUUUUUAUUUGAAACUUAAGAGUUGUAGGGGUUGCGAUUGUACGGGUACUGCCUUUAUGGGUACAUAAUAAAAGUGAAGUAAAUACAGAUAGAAAUUUGUUAUUACGAGGCAGCACGAAAUCUGAAAGCAAACUUGACAAAUAAGAAAAUAUAGCACAAGUGGGUUGAUGUGUCCGCUCAGCUACUACAUUCCGUAACACAAAUAUAAGUAACAUUGCACUGGACAUAAAAUGUUAAAGCGAUAAA